AACAGUAUAACAAGUCAAGUUUUAAUAGAUUUAUAAAAUUCAUAUAUACAAAACAGUAAACUAAGUCACCAAAGCUAUAAAAUACACUUUUUACACAUCACAAUAUAAUUUUAUCUAGUACACAGUUUUCGUAAGUUGAAACUAUCACAGCAAAUAGCUGUCUCUAUUGUGGAUGCUGUUUUGGUGCUAGAAAGACACUUAUGUGAGCAGUCUGGAACUGUGCUUUUAUUUUAUGUGGUUUAUUUUUUAAACCUCUUUUUGUUUGUCACUGUUUCUAAAGUACUUUCCUGUGAAUCGUUAGAAAAUUAAGGCUAAACUCAGGCCCUUCUUGCCCAAUGUAGUGAACUGGUUUAGAAAAAGAAUGAUAUUGCAUAGUAUGUGUGUUACAAUGCAUAGGCACCACAGAGCAAGUAAAUUGCAGAAUAAAAGGUAAUGUUAAUUGGCUUCCUAGCUACGUGAUUGUGUCACAAGAUAACUUGGUGCUUGUCAGUUUGCUUUCAUACACAUUGGUUCCAUGAACAAGACAACUCAUCACAAGAGCAAUAAAUACUAGCAUUUUUGUUAAGUAGCAUCUCCAAAAAUACUGCUCAACAUUUACCAUCAAUUCAAGCUCAUUUCACAUCCCAGAUAACAUAACCUGUACACCAGAAAAACACCCAUAAUCCUAAAGACUGUUAAUGGCUUCAGUGUGAGCGGGAGUUCAAACAUGUUUUCAAACCUCAUCCAUUGAGCACGCUUUCCAAAUCUUGUGAACCACCAAGAAUCAUUCUUCUUCCACAUCCCCCCCCCCCUCCCUGCUGUCUUCCCCCAGCUGCUGUGCUUACCCACCUGCACACCAGCUCUGCACAAAAGGCUGACAAGAAGCACGAGCAGAGAAGCAGUACUGUUCAAAAAUCUGUUCCUUCCCUCAUAAGAAUCUCUUCCUUAGGACCUCCUCGUACAAAAAUUUGGCUUGCCAUCAAUUGUAGAUUUUGCUCCAAUCAUGGAAACAGUAUCUUAUCUAGCCGUUCCCCUGAAAUACUUCUCCUGCUCCAGUAUCUUGAAGAAAGGUUAAGAAGAUGUUAGAAAAGAGUGAGAUGCAUUCUCUGCCCAGAGAUCUGCGAUCAUAUUUUAUCAGGAAUUGAGUUUUAGCACCCAGUUAGGAACAGAUGAAGAGAUUUACAAUGGAGGGCCAUGCAGCAGCAGCAGGGCCAGCCUCACCAGCCUGCUGCCCUUAAUUCACAGCCAAUAGCUCUCUGGAGUCACUCAAAGCUUUUGAGGUCAAUACAGAUGGCAUUUCUUUUCAAUACACUCAGUCCUCAAGCACCAUCAGCUUUUGGGAUCUGUGUAGGAAAUAGCUCUCCUCUCCUGCUCCCUUCCAACAUACUUUGGCUUUUUACCAGAACGCCUACCUUGGAAGUCAGUGCUGCCCUUUUUCUCUCUGACCAUGAUCGUUUUCAUCUCAGACACAAGAUAUGACCUUUGGACAUAAGCCAAGAGCUAGGUUGUCAUACAGUUUGCCAAGCCAGGCACAGAAGCACCAGCACUGACAAUCUAUACCUCCAUACUCCCCACCCCAUCAGAAGACAAGCAUGUCAACACAGACACUUCAACACUGCUUUCCAAAUGCAGUUAGAAAGACAAAAAUCGAAAGAACCAAGCUAAACUGCCCAACCACCAAGAUGAGCAAAGAGCAUCACCUAGUUAGGAAGACAGCAGUUUCAGAUCCAAGUAGCCUGGGUUUACUCAUUUCCAUCCAUGUAAAUAAAUUAGUGUCAAAACAAAGAAGUGCCCACUUCACAGCACAAAGCAGAGAUCACUCCAGCUAAUUACAAAGUCAGUCAUAGUAAAAAGCACAAGGUUUUGUAUUGCCUUGCCAAUUACUUCCUCAGUAGGCUAGACAGUUCUCGUCUAGAAAUGCACGGAGUCGGGACUAACUCAGCCCAAGUGCGGCCCAGACAGUGCCAGCCUGAGAUUUCUGUUCCAUAACUGAUGCUCCAUGUGCAUCAUUUACUAAAGUAGGCACAGAUACGUUUUAAGGAUGCUGCUGAAGCACCCUACUCACUGCUUCCUGUGUUGCAGAAUUAACGAAGUGUGUACUGAGGUAAAGAGUUGGCAGUGCUAUAUUAAAACCCCUGACUACACUGUGUGUCUUUAUACUAGAAAAAUCAUCUAGAAAAGAGGCUACUACUGAACCUGUAGGAGCCACUAUAGGUCUAAUGAUAGGAAGUCAGUGUUUGGCUUACAUUUCAAGCUAUAGGGAAUUAUACUGCAUAUCUUAUUUUAGUCUCAAGCUGGCAUGAAUCAAGUUGUCUAUCAACCCCAGAAGUGUUUGAUAGCACAUGCAAAGCUAAGUCGGGUGUUCAAACUCACUACUUGAAAAUUGAAGGGGUCUCUUACAAAAUCCCCAUAGUUUGGUACAGCAAAACAAGUUCUUCAGGAAAACUGAAAAGGUACCUACAGAGAAGAGACUGCAAAACAUGAAGUUCAUAUCCAGAGACCUGUCUAAAGAAGGCAAAGGGCGUGCUCACUAAAAUGACAUUCUGUGUAGAAUAGUUGUCUGCCACUUGACUGUUCCUUUAAUUUCUUUAAUUCAGUAAUUCUUUACAGAUGACACUACCAGCAGUACUGAACACCUUGGGGUGGGGAGCAUUCCAAAUGGACAGUUUUCCAUAACUAAACCUAUUUCAAUGACUCUGGUGGAAUAAGAUUCGAGCCUUCAGUGCCACAAACAGAUGAGCUCCUCCUACACCACUCCACUGCAGGUGUGUUUUUGUUUCGUUCUGAAUUAGCGCACAUUCCUCCAGUCUGCCUGGCUGAGGCUCUGGCUUCAGUCAACUCAGAAAGCAUACACAAGUGAACACCUUUAGGAACUCCUUUAUGCUUGUAAUGUGACUAGCUCUAGGUCUGACUCAGCAAUA
ensembl:lncRNA